rnacentral:rRNA from 1 species
AUUGAACGCUGGCGGCAGGCCUAACACAUGCAAGUCGAGCGGAGCGUCGGACGGGUGAGUAAUGCCUAGGAAUCUACCUGGGAGUGGGGGAUCACGUCCGGAAACGGGCCCUAAUACCGCAUACUAGCAGAUGAGCCUCGGUCGGAUGAGCUAGUUGGGGGGGUAAAGGCUUACCAAGGCGACGAUCCGUAGGUGGUCUGAGAGGAUGAUCGGUCACACUGGAACUGAGACACGGUCCAGACUCCUACGGGAGGCAGCAGUGGGGAAUAUUGGACAAUGGGCGAAAGCCUGAUCGAGCCAUGCCGCGUGUGUGAAGAAGGUUUUCGGAUUGUAAAGCACUGUAAGUUGGGAGGCGGUACCAACAGAAUAAGCCCCGGCUAACUUCGUGCCAGCAGCCGCGGUAAUAC